rnacentral:rRNA from 1 species
AUGAAAUUAAAAUUAUUAAAUAUAAUUUUAUCAAUAAUAAAUAAACUUAAUAAUAAUAAUAAUAUUAUUAUUAAUAAUCUAUUAGAUUCAUUAAUAAAUAAGAAAUUAUUAUUAAAGAAUAUAUUAUUAGAUAUAAAUAAUAAAAAAAUAAAUAAUAUAAAAAGAAUAUUAAAUAAUAAUAAUAUAAAUAUUAAUAAUAAAUUACAACAUUUAAAUAAUAUAAAUAAUUGAAAUCUACAAAUUUAUAAUUAUAAUAAAAAUAUAGAAAUUAUAAAUAUUAUAAAUGAUAAAUUAAUUAAUAAAUUAUUAUAUAAAAUAAUAACUUUAAAAUUAAAUAAUAUAAAUGUUAAUAAAAUUAUUAUAAGUAAACUUAUUAAUCAACAUAGUUUAAAUAAAUUAAAUAUUAAAUUUUAUUAUUAUAAUAAUGAUAUUAAUAAUAAUAAUAAUAAUAAUAAUAAUAAUAAUAAUUAUUAUAUAAAUAUAAUAAAUAAAUUAAUAAAUAUUAUAAAUAAUAAUAUAAAUAAUAAUUUAUGUAAUAUUUUAAGUUAUUAUUAUAAUAAAAAAGUAACUAUUGAACCUAUUAAAUUAUCAUAUAUUUAUUUAAAUAGUGAUAUUUUUAGUAAAUAUAUUAGUUUAAAUGAUAUAGAUAAAUAUAAUAAUGGUAUCUUAACUAAUUAUCAACGUAUAUUAAAUAAUAUUAUGCCUAAAUUAAAUGAUCAUAAUAUUUCUAUAAAUUAUAUUAAUAAUAUUAAUAAUAUUAAUAAUAAUAAAUAUAAUAAUAUAAUUAAUUUAUUAAAUAAUAAUAAUAAUAAUAAUAUUAAUAAUAAUAAUAAUUAUAAUAAUUAUAAUAAUAAUAAUAAUAAUAAUUAUAUUGGUAAUAUUAAUAAUAUUUAUAAUAAUAUAACUAUUGAUAAUAUUCCUAUAGAUAUUUUAAUAUAUAAAUAUUUAGUUGGUUGAUCUAUUAAAUUUAAAGGUAGAUUAAAUAAUAAUAAUGGUAGAACUAGUACACUUAAUUUAUUAAAUGGUACUUUUAAUAAUAAAAAAUAUUUAUGAAGUAAUAUUAAUAAUAAUUAUAAAUUAAAUUAUAUCCCUUCUAAUCAUAAUUUAUAUAAUAAUUCUAAUAUUAAUAAAAAUGGUAAAUAUAAUAUUAAAGUUAAAUUAAACUUUAUUUAA